GCGAAGAAGAACCACAGAAGCAAAGCUAACUGCUGCGUUUCGGGAGUUUCAGGUGAACUUAUUUGAAGCCAUUGCCCAGCCAGGAAGGAGGCAGGUGAAGAUGUCCAGGCAGCAGAGAGAGCAGCAAGGUGCAGGAGAGAGACUUUCAGCCUGGGAAAGACAGGCAGCAAAAAAUAAUGAGACAGGACAGGAUCUGAAUUUAAAAAGGAUUUGCUACUGAAAAGUUUCCCCAUGGGCCAUGAGAAGGACAGUCUGUUGCUGCCUGGAACAAGAUUUCAUCACUCACUGUCGGUGCACAUCAACAAACAUCCCAUGAGCAUACAGGUCACUAGUUUCAGGGGCCAGUGGACAAAGGAGCAGCUGCUGCAGG